rnacentral:rRNA from 1 species
GAUGAACGCUGGCGGCGUGCCUAAUACAUGCAAGUCGAGCGAACAGACGAUGAGCUUGCUCCUCUGACGUUAGCGGCGGACGGGUGAGUAACACGUGGAUAACCUACCUAUAAUACUGGGAUAACUUCGGGAAACCGGAGCUAAUACCGGAUAAUAUAUUGAACCGCAUGGUUCAAUAGUGAAAGACGGUUUUGCUGUCACUUAUAGAUGGAUCCGCGCCGCAUUAGCUAGUUGGUAAGGUAACGGCUUACCAAGGCGACGAUGCGUAGCCGACCUGAGAGGGUGAUCGGCCACACUGGAACUGAGACACGGUCCAGACUCCUACGGGAGGCAGCAGUAGGGAAUCUUCCGCAAUGGGCGAAAGCCUGACGGAGCAACGCCGCGUGAGUGAUGAAGGUCUUCGGAUCGUAAAACUCUGUUAUUAGGGAAGAACAAAUGUGUAAGUAACUAUGCACGUCUUGACGGUACCUAAUCAGAAAGCCACGGCUAACUACGUG